AGCCAUUAGACCACCAACCCUGUCUUUACUAGUGGAUUUCGAGCAUUGAUUAAAAAGACACAUUCCACGCACAUCUACGCCAGGAUACACGGGAAAAAAUCUGAUCCCAUUUUCAUGAUUUACGAAUCAUGAAAAUUAUAAAUUGCUCUUGGGACGAAAUCAUGAUUCAGACUCAUGAUUUUUGAAGCUGAGCUACCACUAUCAUGAUUCAGAGCAACCAUUUUCAUGAGCUCCAAAUCAUGACCAUGAAAAGCGUUACGCACACGGUGCACCUGUCAAAACGUGUUUAGCAAAGCUUGUGCAAAGCAUAGUUGGCUGCGCAUUCACGGAAAAGUUGCCCUUUUUUUAAAAAAAAAGUUCACUUUUAUUGCCGGUUUCCUGCGCCGCUGUUGCUCUACUGUCGUUCCUGCUCUACUAUUCCGUUCCUGCUCCGUUGAUAUCGAGCUAUUCCGGCUCUGCAGAACUACCGCCGUUUCAUUCUGUUGCCCGUUCCGGCUCCGCAUUGAGGGAAAAUUCUUCCGGCUCCGCUCUACUAACUACCGGUAAGUGAUACAAAAUUAAUCCAUUUUUGCGCCUGUAAUCGAAAUCCAUUUUGACCAUUUUCCACCGUCUUCUCUUUUUAGCCGUUUUGUUGUCCCAGUGCCACUGUCGCCAUUCCCGCCGCGGCUGUUGCCGUCCAAUAGGUGCAUCCGUUCCGGCUCCGCAUUGAGUUACCAGCUCCGCCCUACCAACUACCGCUCCCGAUUUUGUUGCCGUUCCGGACGUUUCGUUUUCAGCCUUGGCUGGUUCCGCCCAGUAGGUGUUUCCCG
rnacentral:lncRNA from 1 species